rnacentral:rRNA from 1 species
AUACGUAGGGGGCGAGCGUUGUCCGGAAUGAUUGGGCGUAAAGGGCGCGUAGGCGGCCCGGUAAGUCUGGAGUGAAAGUCCUGUUUUUAAGAUGGGAAUUGCUUUGGAUACUGUCGGGCUUGAGUGCAGGAGAGGUAAGUGGAAUUCCCAGUGUAGCGGGGAAAUGCGUAGAGAUUGGGAGGAACACCAGUGGCGAAGGCGACUUACUGGACUGUAACUGACGCUGAGGCGCGAAAGUGUGGGGAGCAAACAGGAUUAGAUACCCUGGUAGUCCACACUGUAAACGAUGAAUGCUAGGUGUAGGGGGUAUCGACCCCUUCUGUGCCGCAGUCAACACAAUAAGCAUUCCGCCUGGGGAGUACGGCCGCAAGGUUGAAACUCAAAGGAAUUGACGGGG